GAUGAAGAACGCAGCGAAAUGCGAUAAGUAAUGUGAAUUGCAGAAUUCAGUGAAUCAUCGAAUCUUUGAACGCACAUUGCGCCCGCCAGUAUUCUGGCGGGCAUGCCUGUUCGAGCGUCAUUACAACCCUCAGGCCCCCGGGCCUGGCGUUGGGGAUCGGCGGAAGCCCCCUGCGGGCACAACGCCGUCCCCCAAAUACAGUGGCGGUCCCGCCGCAGCUUCCAUUGCGUAGUAGCUAACACCUCGCACUGGGAAACAGCGCGGCCACGCCGUUAAACCCCCAACUUCUGAACGUUUGACCUCGGAUCAGGUAGGAAUACCCGCUGAACUUAAGCAUAUCAAUAAGCGGAGGA
rnacentral:misc_RNA from 1 species